rnacentral:rRNA from 1 species
AUUGAACGCUCGCGGGAUGCUUUACACAUGCAAGUCGAACGGCAGCGCGGACUUCGGUCUGGCGGCGAGUGGCGAACGGGUGAGUAAUGUAUCGGAACGUGCCCAGUAGCGGGGGAUAACUACGCGAAAGCGUAGCUAAUACCGCAUACGCCCUACGGGGGAAAGCAGGGGAUCGUAAGACCUUGCACUAUUGGAGCGGCCGAUAUCGGAUUAGCUAGUUGGUGAGGUAACGGCUCACCAAGGCGACGAUCCGUAGCUGGUUUGAGAGGACGACCAGCCACACUGGGACUGAGACACGGCCCAGACUCCUACGGGAGGCAGCAGUGGGGAAUUUUGGACAAUGGGGGCAACCCUGAUCCAGCCAUCCCGCGUGUGCGAUGAAGGCCUUCGGGUUGUAAGCACUUUUGGCAGGAAAGAAACGUCGCGGGCUAAUACCCCGUGGAACUGACGGUACCUGCAGAAUAAGCACCGGCUAACUACGUG